GACUUCCUUUAUUCCUCCUGAGUUCAUGAGUGUGUCACGAGUCAUGGCUGUGUCAUCACUCCGCGCUGAGGAAAUGCAUGUGAUUAAAAACACUGGUGAUCAUGUCACCACAUGCAGUUCGGCUACAACAGUCACUUGUUUAAGCUACAAACGGUUUUCCACGAGCAGAUACGGCGAGCUAUCCUUGAUGAAAGGGGAGGAGAAAACGCAGUCCCAUAGUUCAUUGCGGCGCACAACUCGUCAUAAUGAACAAAAUGGCGCAGAUGAUGUUAAAGAGUGUAAAUUCUUUGAAGAUCUGAUCGCAGCAGCUGGCUGCCUGGAAGACAAGAAUCUGCUUGUACAUGACAUUGUUGUGUUCCAAUGCACAAAGAGGCAUGUAUGUGUUUACUUAUUUAUUAUUGUUCAAUAAGUGACUCAAACGCAGGCAGAUUGCCUUGUUUUCUGGGUUUUUGGUGGGACAUUUCUUUGUGCAUAGCUAGAGCAUAACAGGUGACCACAUGACAUGAAAAAUACAGGUUUGGGAUAUGCACUUGAAUAAUGUGAAUAAUCUAAGCUAAAGUAUAUGCACCAAUAAAAACACUUGUUUCCAUACUUCAUAUUGGACCUGCCUGUGCUGUGAUUGGACGCUGUGUUUUUGCAUUGACCUUUCAGCAAAUGUUCAGAUGCUCCAGGUGUUUUUACCUGUCAGAUCGAUUAUUUUUCUACAAGUGUACAAAUGUUCUCAAGGUGAAUGGUAGGAGGUAAAACUAAUGACAAUGAGUUUAAAUGUAAAGAUUCACUAACAGUGAUAUUAUUCUGACAGUAACACGACCUGGAAGUUCGAGCUUUUAGUAAUAACAUAAAAUGGUCACAUGUUCAAUAAAGUUUCUCAUUAACUAUAACUGUAUAAAACUCAUGAACUGGAUGUAAAUCUAUCUGCGGACCUUUUUUAAAAAUAAAUAAAAUUGUUUGGUAGAGAUGUGGCAUAUGUGCAUGGCUCAUAUACAACUCUCACACAUUGGCACACAUGAAAAGACAAAAGAAAAGACAAGAAAUUCUAGUAUUCUAACCAUGACUCAGCACUCCAACCUGGCUUUGUUUUACAGGAAAAUUGAUACAAAUUUGCCAUUUCACUCUAUUUUUGUAUUUCUAACACUGACCUUACUUUUACACCUAUGCAUACGUCUUCAUUGUGCCACAGUCUUGUAGUGAGGUGAUGACAGUAACGUCUCCUGAGCACCUCCUAUUUUUCACUAGUUCUAAGAUUAAACUAAGCACGUUCCCAAUAAUGCUGUAAAUGAGUGGUUUUUAUGCGUAAUAAACAAGGA